AUGUUUUUUAUUUUCUCCUGUCUCCCUGCAGGAUUGAUCUACCUCCAACACACAAACCACCUCCUCCCUACACAGAGAGACCCACAGCCAUCCCUCUGGCUGUCCAUGCACCACAGGUGGCCUCCCUGUCACAGACUCGCAGGGCUGAUCGACGGUUUGAGAUGGCAGAGAGAACACCCACCAGGCUCGCGCCCCGGGAACCCCGAAGCCACUCCCACCAGCCACUGUCUUAUCAGGAAUGGGUGUGUCACCAGCAUGGGACGGACCGCGUCUACAUCAACCACCGGGAAAACUAUGUGUGACAGACACAUCUUGAGCCCUUCUAUGGACCUGUCAAUCAAUCACUCACCCCGUCCCCACCCAACGCCAUGCAUGCUCCCAGAGGCCAUCCUUUACAAUGUGAAGAACGCAGGCAAAGAAACAGCUCAUGAUUUGACCAAGCCUUCACAGAUGUGUCUACUCCACAUUUAAACUCAUUUGAGAGUAGCAGUUAUGAGCUGUAAGAAACAAGACUAAUGAGGCCGAAGCAUAAACUGCUGAGGUUCUCUGAGGAACACAUCCAUACACCCCCUCCGCUCCACUACCAUAAACCACCACACACCUUUUCUGUUCCCAACCACAUUAAUAAACAGAGCAUAACGGUAGGGGGAAUGGGAGGAAACCGACUUGGUACAGUACGACAAAAUAGCUAUUUAAAACAACGCACUAAUCUCUGUUGUGUACUAUAUAGGAGUGGAAUAAUAUGAACACACCGUACUAAUCUUUAACCUGUAUAGGAGUGAAAUAAAUUACUAUGUCACGGUAGCUAUAGUAAUAUUGUAAUUAUGUGAUAAUCCUGUGUUCAGUUAUGCUUUUUGAAUUAGAUUUAAACCUAAUUAAGACAUCGGAAACCCUCUUAUAUAAUCCCACAGCACCCCCCUAACACUCGUACUUGACUUGUUCCCCCCCAAUAGCACUGACUUUGCUGAUAGCUACUUUAUUGAGGAUAAAUGUACUGACUAUGACUGAGAUAUGUGGUAGCUAUCUUAAGAUGAAUGCACUAACUGUAAGUCACUCUUGAUAAGAGCGUCUGCUAAACUACUGAAAUAAAUGUAAUAAAUAUUUAUAUAAUUGUGGUAUUAAAUAUCAGACAUAUCUCAAAAUUGUUCUGGUAAACACGCAGCCAAUUUAGUAGGAUUCUAACUUUCUGGUAUAAGAACAAAGAUGACAACAUUGUCUGAAGCAGAGUUUCCCGAACUCGGUCCUGGGACGCCCCCUGGGUGCACGUUUUGUUUUCUGCCCUAGCGCUACACAGGUGAUUCAGAUAAUCAACUUGUCAUCAAGCUCUGAUAAUUUGAAUCAGCUGUAUAGUGCUAGGGGAAAAUAACUAAAAGUGCACCCAGGGCGGGCCCCAGUUCCCGUGUUUGGAAAAUCCUGGUCUGAAGGACCAGUCACUUGUGUUACAUCAGGAUCAACUAUUUCAUUGAGUAGCAUUCAGAUAGUAACAUAUAAUGUAAAUUUGCUGUAUUCAAAUGUUCAGAACUAAAAUGUUCAGAAAAGAUAAAUGUGGUGUAGUUCUAGUGUUUUGAGAAGUCAACUGAAUCAUGUAAAAUAUUUACUUCCGCACAUGAAAUUUAAACAUUAAUCAUUCUUUCGUCAGUGAGAAAAUCAGAUUUAGUUUUUUUCAUUGCAAGUUUGUAGUUUUUCAAAUUUUCUUGUGCCAUGUUAAUAUUUGAAGGGGGAUCCUUUCCACUAUAGAUAUGAUCCGUUUUUUUUAUUGUAAUUCUUCCAUUGUGACUAGUUAAAUAUAUGCACUGUUUUCUUAUUUUUUUUAUAUUAAACAUUAUGUUUAUUACACAGUGGUAUUUAUUAAAUGUUUUUACCAUCAUAUUUAUACAAUAUAAGUAGUCUGUUUGUAUGACAUCGUCAUAUGGUCAAAUGAUAGGAAGGGCAGUAUAAGCCCUAGACAGGAUUCUGCUAAGGACCUGAGCCCCACAUAACAGAGUGCUGAUGAGCUCUGUGCUUCUCCUCUCCUGGCCAGGCUGGUAGGGACCAGGGCUCUAGCUGAGCUCCAACCCACAAUAAGGCCAUUGUUUGUUUCCCUGUCACUGGUGAAUAAGCUCUCAGGAAUGCAAUAACUAAUAAAAUAUACAAAUGUGUUAAUUCCCGGGAAAACCUCGCUCAGUUUCCAUCAGCUAACAAACUGCCCUGCUGAUGCACGAGUAGAACGGCAUAAGUGUGUGAGGGGCUAGUUUUACCAGACCAUCCCGAGGGGCUAAAGAUUAGAGACUGUCUGGACCAAUGAUUUAUAUAUACACUACAUGACUGAUAGGGGGCGCUGUUUUGAAGCCACUCCAUCUUGGCAAUCCCCCACCAUUGUAAAAAAAAUAUUUUGGAAGCUAUGGAAAUGCAUUUAUUAAUGUCUACAUUUGUUUUUGCCACCUUUAUUCUAGUAUUGACAUAUGAAUGC
rnacentral:lncRNA from 8 species